UACGUAGGGUGCAAGCGUUAAUCGGAAUUACUGGGCGUAAAGCGUGCGCAGGCGGUUAUGUAAGACAGAUGUGAAAUCCCCGGGCUUAACCUGGGAACUGCAUUGGUGACUGCACGGCUAGAGUGUGUCAGAGGGGGGUAGAAUUCCACGUGUAGCAGUGAAAUGCGUAGAUAUGUGGAGGAAUACCGAUGGCGAAGGCAGCCCCCUGGGAUAACACCGACGCUCAUGCACGAAAGCGUGGGGAGCAAACAGG
rnacentral:rRNA from 1 species